GCACUUCCUGUGUGGAUCAGACGACUAACUCAAUGAUAAUUGCUCCGUCUCUAAGCAGUUUGAAUCUAUAAAUAGAAUAACAAAAGGAAGGAAACGAAAUUUUAAACUGAUUUCCGCCAUUAAAAAAAUAACAUGAAACCUACAGUUCACGACACAUCGCAUAGGAAUUUAAAAUAAAUAUUAGGCCUAUAGGUUUAAUACAUAUUGCUUAGAAUAUAGAAAUUUAGAUCUAGUGUUCUGGUUAGUAGUUAUUUCAUGUUUAUUAGAAUAUAGUCUAGAAUCUAAUCAUACGGCUGCAUAAAAAGAAAGUUUGAAGGAAAUAGAAUAGGAAUCUAGAGAAGCGGAGUGUUUUCCGCACUCGAGAGGAAAGAGGUUGCAGGGAACUUAGAGACUAAUCUCUGCCAAUAUACUGGAUUUCUGGUGAUGACAAUAGCAGCAGAUAGUAUGCGGCUCAGUUAAUACUAAAAACAAUUGAUUUUAGUAAUUAGUGGACUAUGAGUGUGUGUUUGGCCAUCCAGAUUUCAUAACUACAAAAGAUGUUCAAUUACAAGGGAUAUUAAUCAGUCUCCGUGGACUAUACACUGUGCCUAGUUUCAUCCUCAGAGACUGAUGUGUAAGCUUAAAGUAAAGACAUCAAUUCAAAGUAUCAGCCAUCAAGAGGAAAAACAUUCAAAAUCAUAUUGUGAUACACAAGUCAAGCAAGUCUGACCAGCAUUUUGAUACAGGCCAAGAAAAAGCUGGAUACUUGAUUGGAAGGGUCGCACAAAAAACAUGGGUUAUCACUAGGGAAACAAGCUCGCAAUACAGUUCACUGUUAGGACAGCAAGCCAAAUACUUCUAAACUUAUUUGAAUCAUUUUUGCUGUUUAUUAUAAUUCAUCCAAUUGUCUUAUUAAAUAUAUAAAUUUAUAUAUAUACACAAUUCCUAAUAUAGAAUUUCU